rnacentral:rRNA from 1 species
CCUACGGGAGGCUGCAGUGAGGAAUAUUGGUCAAUGGGCGCGAGUCUGAACCAGCCAAGUAGCGUGAAGGAUGACUGCCCUACGGGUUGUAAACUUCUUUUAUACAGGGAUAAACUGAGUCACGUGUGCCUUUUUGUAUGUACUUUAUGAAUAAGGAUCGGCUAACUCCGUGCCAGCAGCCGCGGUAAUACGGAGGAUCCGAGCGUUAUCCGGAUUUAUUGGGUUUAAAGGGAGCGUAGAUGGGUUGUUAAGGCUGUUGUGAAAGUUUGCGGCUCAACCGUAAAAUUGCAAUUGAUACUGGCAGUCUUGAGUACAGUGGAGGUAGGCGGAAUUCGUGGUGUAGCGGUGAAAUGCUUAGAUAUCACGAAGAACUCCGAUUGCGAAGGCAGCUUACUAAACUGCCACUGACAUUGAUGCUCGAAGGUGUGGGUAUCAAACAGGAUUAGAUACCCUUGUAGUC